GGUGACUUUUUACUCUUUAAUAGCCUCUCAAAACACUCACAUUUCCUCACUUUGAAUGGAAAGCAGCACGUUAAACGUGCUCGCACCUGGCAAACAUGCAAAGCAAAAAUGUUUGCUCGAGCAUUGCGACCUUGCAACAAACGCUUUUUUUCCCCCAACUUCCUAGGAAAGCUACGUUCGCCGAGAGGGUAAGUAGACAAAACUAAUUUCUAAAUGCACAAUUAAACCGAAUUAAUAUGCAUGUGUGCAUACUAAUUGUGUCAUUUCUGUUCACAGGUACAAAUCUUCAAAUCGCGUCUAAAAUGGGACACUUGCUGCUUUGCAUCUUCUACAGAAUGGCCAAAUUGACUGAAACGAGGCUCACCUCAACAGAAUGACCCUUAAAAUGGCUGCCAUCCUGUGGCGUUUGGGCCUUCCAAAUAUCAGGUGCCCAGCCACACGCUUGGAAG